rnacentral:rRNA from 1 species
AUUGAACGCUGGCGGCAUGCCUAACACAUGCAAGUCGAGCGGAUGAAGGGAGCUUGCUCCUGGAUUCAGCGGCGGACGGGUGAGUAAUGCCUAGGAAUCUGCCUGGUAGUUGGGGAUAACGUCCGGAAACGGGCGCUAAUACCGCAUACGUCCUGAGGGAGAAAGUGGGGGAUCUUCGGACCUCACGCUAUCAGAUGAGCCUAGGUCGGAUUAGCUAGUUGGUGGGGUAAAGGCCUACCAAGGCGACGAUCCGUAACUGGUCUGAGGGGAUGAUCAGUCACACUGGAACUGAGACACGGUCCAGACUCCUACGGGAGGCAGCAGUGGGGAAUAUUGGACAAUGGGCGAAAGCCUGAUCCAGCCAUGCCGCGUGUGUGAAGAAGGUCUUCGGAUUGUAAAGCACUUUAAGUUGGGAGGAAGGGCAGUAAGUUAAUACCUUGAUGUUUUGACGUUACCAACAGAAUAAGCACCGGCUAACUUCGUG